AACGCGAAGAACCUUACCUGGGCUCGAACGGCUGCCGACCGGUGGUGGAAACAUCGCCUUUCCCGCAAGGGACGGUAGUCGAGGUGCUGCAUGGCUGUCGUCAGCUCGUGUCGUGAGAUGUUGGGUUAAGUCCCGCAACGAGCGCAACCCUUGUCCUGUGUUGCUAACCCCUUAAAAGGUGCACUCUCAGGAGACCGCCAGCGAUAAGCUGGAGGAAGGUGGGGAUGACGUCAAGUCAUCAUGGCCUUUAUGUCCAGGGCUACACACGUGCUACAAUGGACGGUACAAAGCGCUGCAAACCCGCGAGGGGGAGCCAAUCGCAAAAAACCGUUCUCAGUUCGGAUUGCAGGCUGCAACUCGCCUGCAUGAAGCUGGAAUCGCUAGUAAUGGCAUAUCAGAACGAUGCCGUGAAUACGUUCCCGGGCCUUGUACACACCGUACGUC
rnacentral:rRNA from 1 species